rnacentral:rRNA from 1 species
UCCACGCCGUAAACGAUGGAUACUAGUUGUUGGUUGUACAUUGGUAUGAUCAGUGAUUAAGCGAAAGCAAUAAGUAUCCCACCUGGGGAGUACGGUUGCAAGAUUGAAACUCAAAGGAAUUGACGGGGGCCCGCACAAGCGGUGGAGCAUGUGGUUUAAUUCGAUGAUACGCGAGGAACCUUACCAGGGCUUAAAUGUAAGUUGCAUAGUUUAGAGAUAGACUUUUCUUCGGA